ACUCCUACGGGAGGCAGCAGUGGGGAAUUUUGGACAAUGGGCGAAAGCCUGAUCCAGCAAUGCCGCGUGAGUGAAGAAGGCCUUCGGGUUGUAAAGCUCUUUUGUCAGGGAAGAAACGGUGAAAGCUAAUAUCUUUUGCUAAUGACGGUACCUGAAGAAUAAGCACCGGCUAACUACGUGCCAGCAGCCGCGGUAAUACGUAGGGUGCAAGCGUUAAUCGGAAUUACUGGGCGUAAAGCGUGCGCAGGCGGUUUUGUAAGUCUGAUGUGAAAUCCCCGGGCUCAACCUGGGAAUUGCAUUGGAGACUGCAAGGCUAGAAUCUGGCAGAGGGGGGUAGAAUUCCACGUGUAGCAGUGAAAUGCGUAGAUAUGUGGAGGAACACCGAUAGCGAAGGCAGCCCCCUGGGUCAAGAUUGACGCUCAUGCACGAAAGCGUGGGGAGCAAACAGGAUUAGAAACCCUAGUAGUCCCAUGA
rnacentral:rRNA from 1 species